CUUCAAAUUUUCCGCCGUCAAACGUAUUACUAGAGCUUAUCGUAUAAUGACUUAUCAGUAACCGCCAGGGAGUCAGGGACGUCGCCAUCACUUAGGCCAGUGUUGUGGCAUUCUGGACAUCAGAUUUUUGAACGAGUCAAAAAUUGCAUUCAUCCUAAAAUCCCAUACAAGCCUGACACUACAGUAAUGUUUAGAUAAGGGAGAACAAGUUUACCCCGACAGCAUAAACAGACACCCUUUACCAGUUGUAUACAUAGAGAUACAUGGCCCAAGGAAUGAAAUCUCUUAUAUUUGUACUGUACUCAAUGCUAAGGCAGAUGUCAGCGACUAAUAGCACUCACCCAUAGACGCCUCACACAGCUCAGGUACCAAGUGAACAAGAUUCCUCUACAACUUUGUGUUAAGCAGUAAUCUGGGCUGUUUGUGUCAAGUGGUUCAGCUGAGGUUUACUGCAUUUACUAUGGUAUACUGAGAGAAGGGUUGGCUCAUGUAGCAGUAGUCACUUGGCUUAAGACUGCUGUGUGUGGUGAUGUGAAGACAAGUCAUCAUUUGCUCUGACAAACAACACAGCCAGCAGGUGACCCUUGUGUAUGUAGACAAUCAUGUAUGCAGACUUAAGGGUUACUCUCCCAGGUUUCAAAUCCUUGGUACCAGAUAUCCAUGAUCUUCAAGUUCUGACUAUUUUUGACCUUCUUCAAGGCAGUAUUAACACCAACCGGAUAACCUGUGAUAAACAAGGCCUGUGGAGUUCAGAUGAAUUGAACCGUCUCAGAAUAGAUUUCACACGAGUGGACCGCUUAUACCAUGCCAAAUUUGACCGAGGAGCACCACUUCAGAGUACCAUAGAUGAAGGUAAAGCAACGGCAGCACAGUUGGAGGUCGUAGUGCGCAUGCAUUAUAAUGGUACGUUCAUCUUUGCAGAACUGGUGCUUGACUGUGUUAUUCCUUGUAUGCCGAUAUCUUGGGAAAACAAAGGCACACUGUUUGUCUCUUACAGUGCUAACAUUUUCUUCAACACAAUCCAAACUGUCACAGACAAGAGAUUGUUUUAUGAAUCACUUAUGGAAGACAAUUACAACUUCCCAUGGAUAUAUGAUGACACUUUAAUAUUAAAGGCAGAGCACACAUUUCCCUCCUUGAAGUACCUCUGCAACAAGGCCCUCACUGAAGACAGCAAGAGAGUCGACUACUACGUGAAAGUUUUGCCAAGUGUACUCGGGAAGAGUUUGUCAGACUUUUCCGAUAUUGCCAAAGCGAGACACAUCUACAACAUCAUGGUUUAUCCAGCAGCUCGUCAUUAUCUUGCAUUCGAGGACAAUAAUUUGUACUGGAGUGACGCAAACUCAUAUGAAUCUUUUGAGAAUUUUUUCCGUUGGAUCGGAAUGUGAGUGAGAAAAUGCUGGAUAGGUAUUUCCUCAUUCUAUAAAGGAAUGUUGUUGGGCCAUGCAGUUUAUAAUAUACAGUAACUUGGUAUUUGUAAACUACACAGAAAACUAGAUAGAAUCUUUUCUGUGAAUUAAUAGAUCAUCUCAUAUUUAGUUCAGUCAUACAAAAUUUAGUUUAAUUAACCACUUCACUACAAGGAUGCCACAUUUAAGAUUUUAUUUGGCUAAUGCCAGACAAUUUUAUUCCACUGAGAGACCUUAAUCUAUACACAGAGAUUUAAGAAGUUUUUUGUAAUUACGGAAUACAACAAACACAUAUAUUAUUGCGAAUGUAUUUUAUCUACAGUACUUAUUUUGGCACAUUGUUAUAUAUUAAUAAACUUCAUUUUGUUUUA